rnacentral:ncRNA from 2 species
GUAUCUUAAGGGCAAACCAAUCGAAAGGUUGGGACGCAAAGCCAUGGGUCUAAGGCGUCAGGCUAUGACUGCCAGGCUGCGGAG